rnacentral:misc_RNA from 1 species
GAUGAAGAACGUAGUGAAAUGCGAUAAUUAAUGUGAAUUGCAGAAUUCCGUGAAUCAUCGAGUCUUUGAACGCACAUUGCGCCUCAUGGCAUUCCGUGAGGCAUGCCCAUCUCAGCGUUAGAAAAUAUUCUCAAAUUUUAGUUUUGUGCUAAAAUUUGGAUCAUGUCAAGGGAGCUAUUACUAUUAUUGUGAUCGCUCUUUGGAAAUUGAUAGGUCUUUGAGUUGCUACUCAUAGAACGUGAUGAAUCUUUCUUCGUUCUAUUGUAAUUCACUCUGGUAGUCCUAAAACUUGUAUGCCUGUGGCAUAUCUUGUAAUUUGACCUGAGAUUGGGUAGGGAUACCCGCUGAACUUAAGCAUAUCAAUAAGCGGAGGA